AUUGAACGCUGGCGGCAUGCCUUACACAUGCAAGUCGAACGGCAGCACGGGAGCAAUCCUGGUGGCGAGUGGCGAACGGGUGAGUAAUGUAUCGGAACGUACCUUUCAGUGGGGGAUAACGUAGCGAAAGUUACGCUAAUACCGCAUAUUCUGUGAGCAGGAAAGCAGGGGAUCGCAAGACCUUGCGCUGAUUGAGCGGCCGAUAUCAGAUUAGCUAGUUGGUGAGGUAAAGGCUCACCAAGGCGACGAUCUGUAGCGGGUCUGAGAGGAUGAUCCGCCACACUGGAACUGAGACACGGUCCAGACUCCUACGGGAGGCAGCAGUGGGGAAUUUUGACAAUAGGNGGCGAANACCUGNUACAGCCAUGCGCCGUGAGU
rnacentral:rRNA from 1 species